rnacentral:tRNA from 1 species
GGUGGCAUGGCUCAGUAGUAGAGCACAUGCUUAGCAGGCAUGAGGUCCUGGGUUCAGUCCGCAGCACCUCCA